AUUGAACGCUGGCGGCAGGCCUAACACAUGCAAGUCGAACGAGUGGCGGACGGGUGAGUAAUGUCUGGGAAACUGCCCGAUGGAGGGGGAUAACUACUGGAAACAGUAGCUAAUACCGCAUACCAUCGGCUUUGCCCAGAUGGGGUUAGCUAGUCGGUGGGGUAACGGCUCACCUAGGCGACGAUCCCUAGCUGGUCUGAGAGGAGGACCAGCUACAUGGGAACUGAGACACGGUCCAGACUCCUACGGGAGGCAGCAGUGGGGAAUAUUGCACAAUGGGCGCAAGCCUGAUACAGCCAUGCCGCGUGUAUGAAGAAGGCCUUCGGGUUGUAAAGUACUUUCAGCGAGGAGGCGUUACUCGCAGAAGAAGCACCGGCUAACUCCGUGCCAGCAGCCGCGGUAAUUC
rnacentral:rRNA from 1 species